UACGGAGGGCGCAAGCGUUAUUCGGAAUUACUGGGCGUAAAGCGCGUGUAGGCGGCCAGGUAAGUCGGGUGUGAAAUCCCGGGGCCCAACCCCGGAACUGCACUCGAUACUGUCCGGCUGGAGUCCCGGAGAGGAUGGCGGAAUUUCCGGUGUAGAGGUGAAAUUCGUAGAUAUCGGAAGGAACACCAGUGGCGAAAGCGGCCAUCUGGAGGGUGACUGACGCUGAGUCGCGAAAGCGUCGGGAGCAAACAGG
rnacentral:rRNA from 1 species